UACAGAGGGUGCGAGCGUGUCCGGAAUCACUGGGCGUAAAGGGCGCGUAGGCGGCGCGGUAAGCGUGCGGUGAAAGCCCGGGGCUCAACCCCGGGUCGGCCGUGCGGACUGCCGGGCUGGAGCACUGUAGAGGCAGGGUGGAAUUCCGGGUGUAGCGGUGGAAUGCGCAGAUAUCAGGAGGAACACCGGUGGCGAAGGCGGGUCUCUGGGCAGUAACUGACGCUGAGGAGCGAAAGCGUGGGGAGCGAACAGG
rnacentral:rRNA from 1 species